GGCUUAGUGGUCUAGUGGUAUGAUUCCUGCUUCGGGACGCAUGAGCCCUUCCAUGCUUACAUGGGAAUGCAGGAGGCCCCGGGUUCGAAUCCCGGCUGAGCCC